UACGUAGGGUGCAAGCGUUGUCCGGAAUUAUUGGGCGUAAAGAGCUCGUAGGUGGCGGGUCACGUCGGGUGUGAAAGCCCGGGGCUCAACCCCAGAACUGCAUUGGAUACUGCCUUGCUAGAGUACUGGAGAGGGAACUGGAAUUUACGGUGUAGCAGUGAAAUGCGUAGAGAUCGUAAGGAAGGCCAGUGGCGAAGGCGAGUUCCUGGACAGUUACUGACGCUGAGGCACGAAGGCCAGGGGAGCAAACGGG
rnacentral:rRNA from 1 species